ACAUUUAUAGGCAAAAAUCAGUUUCAAUAUUUCUCUUUAAUUAAUAUUGCACUUUUUCUUGCCUCUAAAUUU
rfam:Drosophila pseudoobscura pseudoobscura strain MV2-25 chromosome 3, whole genome shotgun sequence.